rnacentral:rRNA from 1 species
UACGUAGGGAGCAAGCGUUGUUCGGAUUUACUGGGCGUAAAGGGCGCGUAGGCGGCCACCGCAAGUCAAUUGUGAAAUCUCCGGGCUUAACCCGGAAAGGUCAACUGAUACUGCGGGGCUAGAGUGCGGAAGGGGCAACUGGAAUUCUCGGUGUAGCGGUGAAAUGCGUAGAUAUCGAGAGGAACACCUGCGGCGAAGGCGGGUUGCUGGGCCGACACUGACGCUGAUGCGCGAAAGCCAGGGGAGCGAACGGG